rnacentral:lncRNA from 1 species
GAUCUCUCAGGGGCAAGCAUGUUUCUCUUGGAUAAGAGUGGGGUGAAAGGCACUAUCGAAGUCUGAAUGCUGGUUGCAGAAGAUAAUUUGAAGAAUGGGAACAUUAAGCCAUACUCAUUCAACCUACUCUUUAAGAGUUUGACAGGAGGGCCUAUACCUGCAUAUGCUCCCACCUCCAUCCCAAGGGGAAAAAGAUGUCAAUGGAUGUUAGUAUAAGCUUCCUGAAGACCAACUCUCAAACAGACAAAUUUUGGACAAAAUAUGAAAAACACCUGCCUAAAGAUCUGGAGAGUAGUCAUCCGCAGGCACAGUGUUGAAGGGAGUCAAUGUGGAGAAGCAAAUAGCAAAGGGGGAUGUCUCAGCCGAGAGCCUAGAAGGGUAGAGGGAAAAAUUAUUCUUCCUGCCUCAUACAACAACACUUCGUCAUGCUUGCUAUUGUUGACUGUGUAAGUCUUUUCUCUCUCCAGUGAGUCUAUAAGCUCCUUGAAAUCAGAACCUAUUACGAAUACAUUUUCUGUUACUUUCUCAAUGACUAACAAAGUGCCAGGGAUGUGGCAAAUAAUUAAUGCAAGCUGAAUCACCGAACUUGGAAAAAU